rnacentral:rRNA from 1 species
CACCUCUAGCAUCACUAGUAUUAGAGGCACUGCCUGCCCAGUGACAUUAGUUAAACGGCCGCGGUAUCCUGACCGUGCAAAGGUAGCAUAAUCAUUUGUUCCUUAAUUAGGGACUUGUAUGAAUGGCCCCACGAGGGUUUAACUGUCUCUUACUUUUAAUCAGUGAAAUUGACCUUCCCGUGAAGAGGCGGGAAUAUAAAAAUAAGACGAGAAGACCCUAUGGAGCUUAAAUUAAAGUGUCCAACAAAGCUCAAACUUAACCCAACAGGAAUAACAAUGCUCUAACUGGACAACAAAUUUUGGUUGGGGUGACCUCGGAGUAUAACAAAACCUCCGAGCGAUUUUAACCAAGACUUACCCGUCAAGGUGACAUAAUUUAUUGAUCCAAUCAUAUUGAUCAACGAAACAAGUUACCCUAGGGAUAACAGCGCAAUCCUAUUCGAGAGUUCAUAUCGACAAUAGGGUUUACGACCUCGAUGUUGGAUCAGGACACCCAAAUGGUGCAGCAGCUAUUAAAGGUUCGUUUGUUCAA